AAUUCUAGAGGCCUCCCCUCGAGCUAAAACUGGGUUUUUUUAAUCCAAAGAGAAUGCAGUUCUGCAAAGGAAGAAGCACUGGGGCCAUCUCCACCAGCCCUGACAAGAUGAGUGCUGGCUUCCUGGAUGAAAAGUCUGAUCCCAGCAGAUCUGAUGAAUCAGGAAAAAUGAGUAACACAGGGGAAUCCCUUUUGGUUUAAAGCCCUUUGCCCAUUGGGAUCAACCAGAAGCUGGUGGAAAUGCAAGAGAUCUCAAGCCUCUGUUCACAAAAGUUCUUAUACUCCAUCUUCAGAGAAAAACGUGGAAUCCUUGCUUUGGAUGAGACAAAGGCAUCCAGCAAUGAGACUCUCAGAGCCUGAAGGCAGGCAAGUGACUCCAAAGUAUUAGAGGGUGAGGACGGGCAUGUCCUAAAAGUCACAGGUGGAAAGGAAGUUGGCCACUGUUGUAAAAUACUACUUGAUUUCUUUAUAGCACUUAUCUCUGAAUACAUGGGGUUUGUUCCUUUA